GUGUUUUCUCCCCCUUUCCCUUCGAGGUGGGGGAGUGAGAGAGUGAUUGUGGUGUAGCUCAGCUGCCCAGCAGAGUGAAACCAUCACACUGGUUUCAUUCUGACUUCUUGCACUUUGUGCUUUUGAAUGCUGUAACUGAAGGAAGAGCAGAGGUGAAUUUUAUGGGGUAAUAGAUAUGUGAGGUAUCAACAGACAAGGGAAAAGGAGUUCGCUUAGAUUUUGGGUAAUGUGAAGUGUUUAAAUAACAAGGGUAACCUUCACUUUACUGUGAAGAUAAUUUAUUCAGUAUUUCUGUAUACCAACAACAUGGACAGACCUGCUUAUGUCCCAGGGACACAUCCCAUGGGCCCAGGACCCCACCUCAGACCCUCCAGAGCCAUCAUCCCCCGUCCCAGCUCUCCACAGCUGAGCCCACACUGGGAUGAUAUAACACAACGCACCCUUCUGGAUUUCAACGUGAGCAGAGAGAUGGGCUUCAUGUUUUUUUUUUCUAAGUUACGAGAAGAGCACAGCCAGAAGACACAUAACUGGCUAAUCAUGGGCUUUAGUACUUCAAGAUCCAGUGGCACAACAUGCAAUUACUUUCUGGAAUCAGAAUCAUUUAGUAAAUACCUGCUUCACUUGCUUCACGUAGCAUUGCAAAUGCCUCCUUAAAGGCAUCAGCAUCUCAGCUGGCUGUGUUCUGUGCAUCACCACACCACUGUAUGAGCCAGGACAGAGACACCCCGUUUUGGGUGUACAGUGGCUAUUCCAACAGCAGGAGACAGUGGACAAAAAGAGUGCAACCACAGCAGGACACCGCAAAGCCCAGCCACGUUCUCUGUGCUCCUGGGCGCAGUGAGCUCUUGGUGCAGGGUCACCCGCGUCCCCCUCCAUGAAGCAGGUCCCCAAACCCCACAGGGGUCACCGAGGAGAAGUGGAGGCAGCUCACCUGCUGGCCGGCACGUCCUCCAGCCAGGCAUGAGGAAUUGCCUGCUCCACCUGCACCUCCAGGCUGUCCGGGCUUGCCUUGGUGGCUGGCAUCCUCCCCAGGGGGGCCGUG
rnacentral:lncRNA from 1 species